rnacentral:rRNA from 1 species
CGGCCCAGACUCCUACGGGAGGCAGCAGUGGGGAAUAUUGGGCAAUGGGCGCAAGCCUGACCCAGCAACGCCGCGUGAAGGAAGAAGGCUUUCGGGUUGUAAACUUCUUUUAAGUGGGAAGAGUAGAAGACGGUACCACUUGAAUAAGCCACGGCUAACUACGUGCCAGCAGCCGCGGUAAUACGUAGGUGGCAAGCGUUGUCCGGAUUUACUGGGUGUAAAGGGCGUGCAGCCGGGCAUGCAAGUCAGAUGUGAAAUCUCAGGGCUUAACCCUGAAACUGCAUUUGAAACUGUAUGUCUUGAGUGCCGGAGAGGUAAUCGGAAUUCCUUGUGUAGCGGUGAAAUGCGUAGAUAUAAGGAAGAACACCAGUGGCGAAGGCGGAUUACUGGACGGUAACUGACGGUGAGGCGCGAAAGCGUGGGGAGCGAACAGGAUUAGAUACCCUGGUAGUCCACGCUGUAAACGAUGGAUACUAGGUGUGCGGGGACUGACCCCCUGCGUGCCGCAGUUAACACAAUAAGUAUCCCACCUGGGGAGUACGAUCGCAAGGUUGAAACUCAAAGGAAUUGACGGGGGCCCGCACAAGCGGUGGAUUAUGUGGUUUAAUUCGAAGCAACGCGAAGAACCUUACCAGGUCUUGACAUCCUGCUAACGAAGUAGAGAUACAUUAGGUGCCCUUCGGGGAAAGCAGAGACAGGUGGUGCAUGGUUGUCGUCAGCUCGUGUCGUGAGAUGUUGGGUUAAGUCCCGCAACGAGCGCAACCCCUAUUGUUAGUUGCUACGCAAGAGCACUCUAGCGAGACUGCCGUUGACAAAACGGAGGAAGGUGGGGACGACGUCAAAUCAUCAUGCCCCUUAUGACCUGGGCUACACACGUAAUACAAUGGCGGUCAACAAAGGGAUGCAAAGCCGCGAGGCAGAGCGAACCCCAAAAAGCCGUCCCAGUUCGGAUCGCAGGCUGCAACCCGCCUGCGUGAAGUCGGAAUCGCUAGUAAUCGUGGGUCAGCAUACCACGGUGAAUACGUUCCCGGGCCUUGUACACACCGCCCGUCACACCAUGAGAGUCGGGAACACCCGAAGUCCGUAGCCUAACCGCAAGGAGGGCGCGGCCGAAGGUGGGUUCGAUAAUUGGGGUGAAGUCGUAACAAGGUAGCCGUUCGAGAACGAGCGGCUG